rnacentral:rRNA from 1 species
GACGAACGCUGGCGGCGUGCUUAACACAUGCAAGUCGAACGGAAAGGCCCUGCUUUUGUGGGGUGCUCGAGUGGCGAACGGGUGAGUAACACGUGAGUAACCUGCCCUUGACUUUGGGAUAACUUCAGGAAACUGGGGCUAAUACCGGAUAGGAGCUCCUGCUGCAUGGUGGGGGUUGGAAAGUUUCGGCGGUUGGGGAUGGACUCGCGGCUUAUCAGCUUGUUGGUGGGGUAGUGGCUUACCAAGGCUUUGACGGGUAGCCGGCCUGAGAGGGUGACCGGCACAAUGGGAACUGGGUACCGGCCAGACUCCUUCGGGGAGCAAGAGGGGGGGAUUAUGGCACAAUGGCGGGAGGCUGGUUGCAGAACGGCGGCUUGGGGAUUGCGGCCCUCGGGGUUGAAACCGCUUUCGCGUGUGACGAAGCGUGAGUGACGGUAAUGGGUAAAGAAGCACCGGCUAACUACGUG